GGAGGGAUGCCGGAGUGGUCGAACGGGGCGGUCUCGAAAACCGUUGUGCGCGUUAGCGUACCGAGGGUUCGAAUCCCUCUCCCUCCG
rnacentral:tRNA from 1 species